rnacentral:rRNA from 1 species
UACGUAGGGUGCAAGCGUUAAUCGGAAUUACUGGGCGUAAAGAGUGCGUAGGCGGUUUUCUAAGUUUGGGGUGAAAUCUCCCGGCUUAACUGGGAGGGUGCGCCGAAAACUGGAAGGCUUGAGUAUGGGAGAGGUAAGCGGAAUUCCUGGUGUAGCGGUGAAAUGCGUAGAUAUCAGGAGGAACACCUGCGGUGUAGACGGCUUACUGGACCAUAACUGACGCUGAGGCACGAAAGCGUGGGUAGCAAACAGG